UACGAUAGGGGGCAAGCGUUGUCCGGAUUUAUUGGGCGUAAAGGUAGCUCGUAGGCGGUUGGGCAAGUCACGUGUGUAAAAUCUCCACGCUCAACGUGGAGGCGCCACGUGAGACUGCCCUGACUCGAGUCCGGUAGGGGAGCGUGGAAUUCCCGGAGUGUAAGCGGUGAAAUGCGCAGAGAUCGGGAGGAACACCCGAUAGCGAAGGCGGGCGCUCCUGGGCCGGUACUGACGCUGAGGAGCGAAAGCGUGGGGAGCAAACAGG
rnacentral:rRNA from 1 species